rnacentral:rRNA from 1 species
GACGAACGCUGGCGGCGUGCUUAACACAUGCAAGUCGAACGGAAAGGCCCUGCUUUUGUGGGGUGCUCGAGUGGCGAACGGGUGAGUAACAAGUGAGUAACCUGCCCUUGACUUUGGGAUAACUUCAGGAAACUGGGGCUAAUACCGGAUAGGAGCUCCUGCUGCAUGGUGGGGGUUGGAAAGUUUCGGCGGUUGGGGAUGGACUCGCGGCUUAUCAGCUUGUUGGUGGGGUAGUGGCUUACCAAGGCUUUGACGGGUAGCCGGCCUGAGAGGGUGACCGGCCACAUUGGGACUGAGAUACGGCCCAGAGUCCUACGGGAGGCAGCAGUGGGGAAUAUUGCACAAUGGGCGGAAGCCUAAUGCAGCAACGCCGCGUGCGGGAUGACGGCCUUCGGGUUGUAAACCGCUUUCGCCUGUGACGAAGCGUGAGUGACGGUAAUGGGUAAAGAAGCACCGGCUAACUACGUG